rnacentral:sRNA from 1 species
CCGAAGUUGGUAUUUGGCAUUUCCAUUUUUUC